GAGACAGCAGCAGCCACGGGAAUACGGAGGGUGCAAGCGUUAAUCGGAAUUACUGGGCGUAAAGCGCACGCAGGCGGUCUGACAAGUCAGAUGUGAAAUCCCCGGGCUUAACCUGGGAACUGCAUUUGAAACUGUCAGGCUGGAGUCUUGUAGAGGGGGGUAGAAUUUCAGGUGUAGCGGUGAAAUGCGUAGAGAUCUGGAGGAAUACCGGUGGCGAAGGCGGCCCCCUGGACAAAGACUGACGCUCAGGUGCGAAAGCGUGGGGAGCAAACAGGAUUAGAUACCCCUGUAGUCCCUGUCUCUUAUAC
rnacentral:rRNA from 1 species